UAUUAGUGCCCUUUGUGCAUGGAGCCUUUGGAGAUGGAUGAUGUAAAUUUUUUCCCAUGCACUUGUGGAUAUCAGAUUUGUCGUUUUUGCUGGCACAGAAUCCGAACAGAUGAGAAUGGGUUAUGUCCUGCUUGUCGAAAGCAAUACCCUGAAGACCCCGCAGAUUUUAAACCUCUAACACAUGAAGAGUAAGUUUAAAA